UGCAGGAUGGGAGGGUGGGAGGAUGUGUGUGUGCGUGUGUGUGUGUGUGUGCGUGUGUGUGUGUGUGUGUUACGGAGGGAGGGCGGGGGAGCGCCAGUAGCCAGAUGCUGAGAGACGAGACGAAGGACGUAAAACACAACAAGUGAGUGAACUGUUGCUCUGCAAAUUAAGUCGCACUGCAGCGGGAUUACUGGAGGCGAAACUCUGUAAAAGUAACGUGUGAUUUUAUUUUAAAGAGCGCUACGUGUCAUUGGAGCUGAUCAUUAAUACUUUUUUUGUAUUUCUAUGUAUUCACUCCGUGUCUGCUUAGAUUGCCUGAGAUCGCCGCUUUGAGCAUUUUGGACGUGCACCAUGCAGGAGUCCUGCUGAGAUGAUGCGAGUUUAAAUAUUAGUGUGACUUUGAGUUUGCAGCGCGCCGCAACUUCACCCGAUAAGACAUCGCAAGCGCUCCCUGUCGGAAGGUUUUCGUCGCGGUGUCCGGGAACAGUUUUCCGGCGGCGUUUCCAUCUGAGCCCGCAAUCACGGAAAAACACUGAGAGCCGCGUGGAAAAGAAAGAAAGAAAGAGAUUCGGGGUCUCCUGUGAUGCUGGGAUAAAAUGUUCUCUGCUUCAUCCAAGCUGCCUUUUAAACAAGUCUCCACAUUCAAUGCAAUUUUGUGGGCAAUUUACUCAACAUUUUCAUGACCUGUAACAAUUCUGUAGCCUCUUUUAAUGGAGAAGUAGACUGCUGAGAUAAAUCUAAUCCAGGGUCAACAGAACAGUAAAAAAGAGCAGUGAUUUAGCAAAUUCCUCGACCUUCUCUUCUCAUUCCUCGACAAGGUAAAGCACCCUUCCCUGCAUGUGGUGGGUGAGAUGAACUCCAGUGGGAAUACUGUAGACCCCACUUGACAGCUCAGCCUGAUCACCUGAAAGCUUCUCAACAGAGCCUCCACAAGACCUUGAUAAAAAAAGCAGUUGCCUAAAAUCCACAUCUCAAUGGGGAUGCUGAAUUUUUAGGUAGAAAGUCAAUAUUGAUGUUAUUUUUGUGUCAUAAAAUAAUGUAUAACCUUUAUAUAGGUUGACAGCCCUCUGACACUGCGAACCAGAAGAAACUGCAAAAUAACAGGAUACAAAACUAAUGUUUGAAUACCGGGAAAUGGAAAA
ensembl:lncRNA